rnacentral:rRNA from 1 species
CAGUAGCCGCGGGAAUACGAAGGGUGCAAGCGUUAAUCGGAAUUACUGGGCGUAAAGCGCACGUAGGCGGCUUGGUAAGUUAGAGGUGAAAGCCUGGAGCUCAACUCCAGAAUUGCCUUUAAGACUGCCGAGCUAGCAGGUGAGAGAGGUAAGUGGAAUUCCGAGUGUAGAGGUGAAAUUCGUAGAUAUUCGGAAGAACACCAGUGGCGAAGGCGGCUUACUGGCUCAUACUGGACGCUGAGGUGCGAAAGCGUGGGGAGCAAACAGGAUUAGAUACCCCUGUAGUCCCUGUCUCUUAUAC